UUGCCAGGCAUUGUCAUGGGAACCAUUUGAGAAGGGCAAUGUGCAGUGCAUGGGCGACUUCCAGUCGGAACCUCUGCAUGGGCUUGAUUCAGAUCUAACUUCCAGUUUACAAGAAAUACAGAGGAUGGAGGAACAAGUUUAAUAAUACCAUAGAGAUGCAGUCAGAUCAAUCCAGAAGAUGCAACAUUCUGCAGGACAAUUACCCUGGAAUCUUCGAGAAGUUGAUGUCAUGGAACACAAGUAUAUGAUUGUGAAGUGAAGAAGCACUUCUGGAUUAACAGCCUUAAGAAACAUAAAGAAAUAAUAUAUGUAUAUGCAUCUUGUUUGAAUUAACCAGCUUUAAAAGACAUUUUGGGGACACAUAAGGAAAAUUUGAAUGUCAAUGGGUGUGCUCUUGAAAAAUUAUGUAAAUUUUGUUAAACAUGAUAAUGGAAUUGUGUUUACUUAACAAAAAUAUGCUUAUUUUUUAGAGACCAAUGUUAAAGUAUUUAGGGGUGAAACAUCAUGAUGCCUGUAACUUAUUUUAAAUUCAGCAAAAAAAAGCUGAAUAUAUGAGAAAUUUCAUUAA